GCGCCCUUGGCGGAAUUGGCAGACGCAGUGGACUUAAAAUCCACCGCCUAAGGCGUACGGGUUCGAGUCCCGUAGGGCGCA
rnacentral:tRNA from 1 species